rnacentral:lncRNA from 1 species
GCGGAGGAGGCAGCGGAGGAGGAGGCGGAGGAGGCGGAGGCGGAGGAGGCGGAGGAGGACUGACAAUAGCAACAAUAACUGGCUGAAAGCCAGCUUUGUAAUAUCCUCAAACUUCUGAAGGAAAAUAAUGAAGGCUAGAAUCCUCUACCAAACUAAAACCAAUGAACACCCUUUAAGUCUAAUGCAAGAAAUUCAGACAAACGGAGCACAAGUUAUGACAAGAUGGUUCUGUUGAAUGGAUAAAAAUGUGGGCAGCCAGCCCGGCACGGUGGCUCACGCCUGUAAUCCCAGCACUUUGGGAGGCCGAGGCAGGCAGAUCACUGGAGGUCAGGAGUUCAAGACCAGCCUGACCAACAUGGUGAAACCCCAUCUCUACCAAAAAUACAAAAAUUAGCCAGGUGUGGUGGCAGGCACCUGUAAUCCCAGCUACUUGGGCAGCUGAGGGAGGAGAAUCGCUUGAACCUGGAAGGGGGAGGUUGCAGUGAGCCAAGAUCACACCACUGCACUCCAGCCUGGACUAUGGAGUGAGAUUCUGUCUCAAAAAUAAAAUAAAAUAAAAUGUGGGCAGGCUAAUACAUCUGUGAGUCCAGGAGCAGCUUUUCUCCUAGCACUCGAACCAUGAAAGCAAAAUGGCUCCCUCUAUUUUAGCAGCUGCCAUUACUAACAAUAAAGUGCUGAAUAGAAGUCUGUAUAAAAAGAAUAUUUAUAGCACAUGUCCUCAAACAUGUAUCGGGAAAUACCAAUUUAUAAUAAAAAGUAAAUAAGGGUACUAUGGUGAAAUGUAUUAUUUAACCCCGGAGCAGCGCACGUCUUCUGCAAGUUAGAUUUUGGAGGUGGGGCACGGUGGCUCAUACCUGCAAUUCCAGCAUUUUAGGAGGUUAUUGCCUUUGGAGCUAACACCCCGGUUACUAAGGACUCGGCAGACCCUUCCCUCCUACUGUUCCCUGGGUCAAGAUCAUUUUCCCCAGGGUUUUAGGAUCAUUUUCUAAGAGGCCCAGGAGACUGGAUUGAAAAUGUAAAAAAAAAAAUAUUUAAGCACAUGUCUUCAAACAUGUAUCAGGAAAUAUUAAUUUAUAACAAAAUUAAACAAGGUUACUAUGAUGAAAUUUACUGUUUAAUCCCUGAGCAGCACGUGGUCUUUUACAAGUUAAACUUUGGAGGCCAGGCGUGGUGGCCCAUACCUGUAAUUCCAGCACUUUGGGAGGCUGAGGCAGGCAGGUCACUUGAGGCUAGGAGUUUGGGACGAGGCUAGGCAACAUGGCAAAACGCCUUCUCUACAUAAAAAAAUUCAAAAGUUAGCUGGAUGUGGUGGUGUGCACCUGUAGUCCCAACUAAUCCAGAGGCUGAGGUGGGAGGAUCACUUGAGUCUGGGAGGCACAGACCACAGUGAGCUGAGAUCCCACCACUGCACUCCAGCCUGGGAGGUAGAGCCAGACCCUGUCUCAAAACAAAAACAAAAAAGUUAGACUUUGGGGUAAUAAAGACAGUGCAUGCCAAUCAUAACUGCCUAGAGGAAUAGAACACUGCUGUCAAGAGUGGACGGAAAGGGAGAGAAGCCCUGCCUUGCUCCAGGUCAGCAUCCUGGACAGUUCUGCAGCAGCUCUGCGGAUGGGAGAUGCAGCGGUGACUUGCCAGGGCCGCCAUGUGUUGCUGUCCGGUGGAAGACAAGCCUGGACUUUGAAAUUGUUUUCCCAACAGAAAAGGUCACUGGAAAUAAGUGGUGUGUUGUCUCUACUCUGUGAAACAUACACUCUGAUGGGGAAGCGAAGCGCAGAGAUGCUCAUCUAGUGUAUGUGAAUUCAAUUCUGUUUGCUGCAGAGAGGGAGUCAGGGAGACAGGGCGAGCCAGGGAGAGGGGGGGAGCCGGGGAGAGGUGGGGA